AUGGGAUCCAGAUGUUUCGGGACACCCCAAAGUCCUCCACAGGAUCCAGGUAUUUGGGGACACUCCAAAGUCCUCAAUGGGAUCCAGAUGUUUGAGGACACCCCAAAGUCCUCCAUGGGAUCCAGAUGUUUGGGGACACCACAAAGUCCACAAUGGGAUCCAGAUGUUUGGGGACACCCCAAAGUCCUCAAUGGGAUCCAGAUGUUUGAGGACACCCCAAAGUCCUCCAUGGGAUCCAGAUAUUUGGGAACACUCCAAAGUCCUCUAUGGGAUCCAGAUGUUUGGGGACACUCCAAAGUUCUCCGUGUCCCCACUGUCCCCCAGAUGUUUGGGGACUUCAGGGUGUCCCUGAUCUGGGGACUUCAGGGUGAUUUUGGGGACGAUGUCCUCAGUGGGGCCCAGAAAUUUGGGGUCAUCCCAAUAUCCUCAAUGGGACCCAGAUGUUUGGGGUCAUCCCAAUAUCCUCAAUGGGACCCAGAUGUUGGGGACACUCCGAUGAUGUCCUCAAUGGGACCAAAAUAUUUGGGGGGGACCAAAAUAUUUGGGGACGUUGGGGUAUUGGGGUGUCCUCAAUGGGACCCAGAUGUUUGGGGACACCCCAAUGAUGUCCUCAACGGGACCAAAAUAUUUGGAGGGGGACCAAAAUAUUUGGGGACGUUGGGUGGGGACACCCCAAUGAUGUCCUCAACGGGACCAAAAUAUUUGGAGGGGGACCAAAAUAUUUGGGGACGUUGGGGUAUUGGGGUGUCCUCAAUGGGAUCCAGAUGUUGGGGGACACUGGGAUGUUCCCAGUGGGGCCCAGAUGUUUGGGGUCAUCCCAAUGUCCUCAAUAGGACCCAGAUGUUUUGGGGACACCCCAAUGAUGUCCUCAACGGGACCAAAAUAUUUGGAGGGGGACCAAAAUAUUUGGGGACGUUGGGGUAUUGGGGUGUCCUCAAUGGGAUCCAGAUGUUGGGGGACACUGGGAUGUUCCCAGUGGGGCCCAGAUGUUUGGGGUCAUCCCAAUGUCCUCAAUAGGACCCAGAUGUUUUGGGGACACCCCAAUGAUGUCCUCAACGGGACCAAAAUAUUUGGAGGGGGACCAAAAUAUUUGGGGACGUUGGGGUAUUGGGGUGUCCUCAAUGGGAUCCAGAUGUUGGGGGACACUGGGAUGUUCCCAGUGGGGCCCAGAUGUUUGGGGUCAUCCCAAUGUCCUCAAUAGGACCCAGAUGUUUUGGGGACACCCCAAUGAUGUCCUCAACGGGACCAAAAUAUUUGGAGGGGGACCAAAAUAUUUGGGGACGUUGGGGUAUUGGGGUGUCCUCAAUGGGAUCCAGAUGUUGGGGGACACUGGGAUGUUCCCAGUGGGGCCCAGAUGUUUGGGGUCAUCCCAAUGUCCUCAAUAGGACCCAGAUGUUUUGGGGACACCCCAAUGAUGUCCUCAACGGGACCAAAAUAUUUGGAGGGGGACCAAAAUAUUUGGGGACGUUGGGGUAUUGGGGUGUCCUCAAUGGGAUCCAGAUGUUGGGGGACACUGGGAUGUUCCCAGUGGGGCCCAGAUGUUUGGGGUCAUCCCAAUGUCCUCAAUAGGACCCAGAUGUUUUGGGGACACCCCAAUGAUGUCCUCAACGGGACCAAAAUAUUUGGAGGGGGACCAAAAUAUUUGGGGACGUUGGGGUAUUGGGGUGUCCUCAAUGGGAUCCAGAUGUUGGGGGACACUGGGAUGUUCCCAGUGGGGCCCAGAUGUUUGGGGUCAUCCCAAUGUCCUCAAUAGGACCCAGAUGUUUUGGGGACACCCCAAUGAUGUCCUCAACGGGACCAAAAUAUUUGGAGGGGGACCAAAAUAUUUGGGGACGUUGGGGUAUUGGGGUGUCCUCAAUGGGAUCCAGAUGUUGGGGGACACUGGGAUGUUCCCAGUGGGGCCCAGAUGUUUGGGGUCAUCCCAAUGU
ensembl:lncRNA